rnacentral:hammerhead_ribozyme from 1 species
ACCCAGCUGACGUGUCUCAAAUAGGACGAAACACGAGUCUUGGAU